CCCCUUGUCCACAAACACACCCCCGUGCACGUUGAAGGCCCGGCUCGUUGAGUGGGUGGGCGACCGCCCAGGAUUCGUAGCCUCGCUUUCUUACACAAACUUCAGAAUGUACAUCAGAAUGUCUUACGCGUGUAACGCAUCGUAAUAUAACUUUCAGCAAACGGAUCUCUUGGCUCUCGCAUCGAUGAAGAACGCAGCGAAAUGCGAUAAGUAAUGUGAAUUGCAGAAUUCAGUGAAUCAUCGAAUCUUUGAACGCACCUUGCGCUCCUUGGCAUUCCGAGGAGCAUGCCUGUUUGAGUGUCAUGAAACUCUCAACCCCUGCCAUCUUUGCGGAUGAGCGUCGGUUGGAUUUUGGAGGUUGCCGGACUCGUUCGGCUCCCCUUGAAAGCAUAGUAAAGCUUGGACCUGACCGACCGGGUGGACGUGAUAGAAAGUCACCGUCGACCGAAGGGUCCGUCGCUGAACGGUUCAAGCUUUGUUUGUCGU
rnacentral:rRNA from 1 species